UUUCUAUUUCAGUAGUCAUUUAAUAAUAAACAUUUUAACAUUCCUUUAAGUGUCCAAGAGUUUUAGGUUUUAUGGGGUUAACGUCAUUAAUAGAUUCUCAUGGAAAUUUAUUUAUAAAAUGUUGGAGAAAUUGUUCUGAAAGAAAUUGGGAUAAACUAUAGAAAAGGCCUUUAGGAGAUAAAAUUGUUCUUACGACUUUAACUUCACUAUAUAGUUCUUACGCAUCUCGAUAGACGAAUUCACAAGUGCACAAAAUUGUUUAGUUAAUAAAGCGAUAAGUAGAGUAUCGUCCAUAGAAAUUGUGUAUCAAGU
rnacentral:lncRNA from 1 species